rnacentral:lncRNA from 14 species
UUUAGAUCUUUUGGGGAUGUACACAAACCUCCUGCUACAGAGAGACUAACUCCCACAUCUUGAACAAGCCCUCUGGCCUUGCAGAAUAUUUGCUUCUGGGUGGAACAGACUUGCAGCACAUAAUGGCUGGUCCUGUGGCAUUGCAGCAGCCCCAGCUUCAGGACCAUUUCUCUUUGGGGCACCAAAUGGGAAAGGAAGCACGUAUUUGGGGAACCUUGAGGUUCAGAAGAAAUCUGUCCUUCUGGCAAACUUUGAUUCCCUGUAGAAUUCAUCCCAUGUGCAAAAAAUUGAAUGAAAC